ACUUUUUUUAACUAAAGCCGACAUUGGUUGAUAUAAAAAGUUGUGGCUAGGAUAAACAAGGAUAAUCGAUGAAAUCAAAACAAAAAGUUUAAAAAAAACAUGUAAUAAGGAAGAAAUCCGAGACCUUCCGAACUACUUUUUUUUAUAGGAAAUGUCAACAUCCGGUUGUCAAAGACAAAUAUUACACGAGGUUGAAAAAUAACAUCAAACGAAAUGUUUCGUCAACCUAAGACAGUUUCGAUGACGGGAUGGCGUCUGGUAGCAUUUUGGGGUGCCUUUGUUGGGUCAAUUGGAGGUUUCAUGUAUGCAGUUGCAAUUUACCCAAUGAUGAACGUAGAUAAAUAUAGUUAGUUUAUGUAAGACCGUCUUAUAAAUGGGCCUAGCCUAGGCCUACUUCGAUUCGUCCAACUCGAGUUAGUAGA
rnacentral:lncRNA from 1 species